CUUUCUCUUAGGAGCAUAAAUCUGUUAAGAGAACAGCAACAGUGGACGAGAACGUGGUCCAAGUGCAUUUUGAAACAAAAGUAUGGCAGAUGGCAUCCGGACACUGGGAGACCAGGAUUAUGACUCGAAUCGCUCCACCUGGAAAUGAUGGGUCCUCCAUGAUGGCAUCCGUUGCUCUAUUCUUUUGGCUGAUUCUAAUGUGAACACCCACCUUCUGCUCUGGACAGGUCUCCUAACAAGAAGUCAUGCCGGUACCCUCUCGCACAUGGAUUUGAGCAGACUGGCUAACCACUUCAACCCAAAGCAUCCUGGGUUGGUGAUAAAGCUGGGACAGUCUAGGCGUCUGUACAAACGGCUGAAAGCAACUGUUAUCUCUGCAGUGGUAAGAAUGGUGACAUUGUGCAACUCAUUGAACAGUCAGACCCAACAUCCAGAAUGA
rnacentral:lncRNA from 1 species